rnacentral:rRNA from 1 species
CACGUAGGGCGCAAGCGUUGUCCGGAAUUAUUGGGCGUAAAGAGCUCGUAGGCGGUCUGUUGCGUCUGCUGUGAAAACCCGGGGCUUAACCCCUGGCUUGCAGUGGAUACGGACAGACUAGAGGUAGGUAGGGGAGAAUGGAAUUCCCGGUGUAGCGGUGAAAUGCGCAGAUAUCAGGAAGAACACCGGUGGCGAAGGCGGCUCUCUGGGCCUUACCUGACGCUGAGGAGCGAAAGCGUGGGUAGCGAACAGG